UCAUUUUCAUCCUGUUGGUUUCAUCUUAGUACUAGCACCAUGUCUGGUUCUAAUAGUUCCAAAGAGAAUUCCCACAACAAGGCUCUGACAUCUCCUUACCCAGGUUCAAAAGUUGAACGAAGCCAAGUUCCUAAUGAAAAAGUGGGCUGGCUCGUUGAGUGGCAAGACUAUAAUCCUGUUGAAUAUACUGCCCUCUUUGCCUUAGCUGGACCCAGGUGGACAGAUCCUCAGAUCAGUGAAAGUACCUUUUCCCCGAAGUUUAAUGAAAAAGAUGGGCAUAUUGAGAGAAAGAGCCAGAAUGGCCUGUAUGAGAUUGAAAAUGGAAGACCUAGAAAUCCUGCAGGACGGACAGGACUGGUUGGCCAGGGGCUUUUGAGGCGAUGGGGUCUAAAUCAUGCUGCAGAUCCCAUUAUAACCAGGUGGAAAAGAGAUACCAGUGGAAAUAAAAUCACCCAUCCAGUUUCUAGGAAACACAUCUUAAUAGUUUGUUGCAAUAAAAAGGAUAGACUGUGGAGAAUGGGCAAUCCCAGGGGGGAUGGUGGAUCCAGGAGAGAAGAUUAGUGCCACACUGAAAAGAGAAUUCAGUGAGGAAGCUCUCAACUCCUUGCAGAAAUUGAGUGCUGAGAAGAGAGAAAUAGAGGAACAGUUGCAUAAACUCUUCAGCCAAGAACAUCUCGUGAUAUAUAAGGGAUAUGUUGAUGAUGAUCCUCGAAACACUGAUAAUGCGUGGAUGGAGACAGAGGCUGUCAAUUACCAUGAUGAAACAGGUGAGAUAAUGGAUUAUCUUACCCUAGAAGCUGGAGAUGAUGCUGGGAAAGUGAAAUGGGUUGACAUCAGCGAUAAGCUCAAGCUUUAUGCCAGUCAGUCUCAGUUCAUCAAACUAGUGACAGAGAAACGGGAUGCACACUGGAGUGAGGAUUCUGAAGCUGUCUGCCGUGGGGUAUAGCUCAUGGUCUCUGUAGAAGUUGAAAGCCCGCAAAGGAGCAAGUGCUGAAAAGGAGGCAGGAUCACCCAACUUAUGCUGUAAAAAGGGCCAGGGCGGCCACUGGGCCUAUUCACUUCCAAAAUGAUUUACAU